rnacentral:rRNA from 1 species
UGGGGAAUCUUGCGCAAUGGGCGAAAGCCUGACGCAGCGACGCCGCGUGAGUGAUGAAGGCCUUCGGGUUGUAAAGCUCUGUGGGGAGAGAAGAAUAAGUGCGGGCUAAUACCCCGCAUGAUGACGGUAUCUCCUUAGCAAGCACCGGCUAACUCUGUGCCAGCAGCCGCGGUAAGACAGAGGGCGCAAACGUUGUUCGGAAUUACUGGGCGUAAAGCGAGUGUAGGCGGUUUGGUAAGUCGGAUGUGAAAGCCCCGGGCUCAACCCGGGAAUGCAUUCGAUACUGCCAAGCUAGAGUAUCGGAGAGGUUGGUGGAAUUCUCGGUGUAGAGGUGAAAUUCGUAGAUAUCGAGAGGAACACCGGUGGCCGAAGGCGGCCAACUGGAC